rnacentral:snoRNA from 1 species
AAUCCAUGGUGUAGGCACUUCUAAAUUAGUAUCUUGAAACACUCCCAUGCUUCUUAAAGGCUUUCUCCUUUUGAUUGCUUGAACAUCAAAAUUUCUCUUCUUAACU